GGGGAAUAUUGGACAAUGGGCGAAAGCCUGAUCCAGCCAUGCCGCGUGAGUGAUGAAGGCCUUAGGGUUGUAAAGCUCUUUCAGUGGGGAAGAUAAUGACGGUACCCACAGAAGAAGCCCCGGCUAACUUCGUGCCAGCAGCCGCGGUAAUACGAAGGGGGCUAGCGUUGUUCGGAUUUACUGGGCGUAAAGCGCACGUAGGCGGAUCGUUAAGUUAGGGGUGAAAUCCUGGAGCUCAACUCCAGAACUGCCUUUAAUACUGGCAAUCUCGAGUCCGGAAGAGGUAAGUGGAACUCCUAGUGUAGAGGUGGAAUUCGUAGAUAUUAGGAAGAACACCAGUGGCGAAGGCGGCUUACUGGUCCGGUACUGACGCUGAGGUGCGAAAGCGUGGGGAGCAAAC
rnacentral:rRNA from 1 species